rnacentral:rRNA from 1 species
ACAAUUAUUUAUAGCCUCUGGCUAUAGGAAAUUGUUAGUGGCAGACGGGUGAGUAAUGCGUAGGAAUCUACCUAGUAGUACGGAAUAGCCAUUAGAAAUGGUGGGUAAUACUGUAUAAUCCCCGAGGGGGAAAGAUUUAUCGCUAUUAGAUGAGCCUACGUUAGAUUAGCUAGUUGGUGAGGUAAUGGCUUACCAAGGCUAUGAUCUAUAGCUGGUCUGAGAGGACGAUCAGCCACACUGGAACUGAGAUACGGUCCAGACUCCUACGGGAGGCAGCAGUGGGGAAUAUUGGACAAUGGGCGAAAGCCUGAUCCAGCUAUGCCGCGUGAGUGAAGAAGGCCUUCGGGUUGUAAAACUCUUUC